GACGAACGCUGGCGGCGUGCUUAACACAUGCAAGUCGAACGGUAAGGCCCUUCGGGUACGACGAGUGGCGAACGGGUGAGUAACACGUGGGUGAUCUGCCCUGCACUUCGGGAUAAGCCUGGGAAACUGGGUCUAAUACCGGAUAGGACUCCGAAUCGCAUGGUUUGGGGUGGAAAGCUUUUGCGGUGUGGGAUGGGCCCGCGGCCUAUCAGCUUGUUGGUGGGUGAUGGCCUACCAAGGCGACGACGGGUAGCCGGCCUGAGAGGGUGUCCGGCCACACUGGGACUGAGAUACGGCCCAGACUCCUACGGGAGGCAGCAGUGGGGAAUAUUGGACAAUGGGGGCAACCCUGAUCCAGCCAUGCCGCGUGGGUGAAGAAGGCCUCGGUUGUAAGCCUUUCGUGCGGAGAAAGUACGUCGGUGAACAUCCGGCGAUGCUGACGGUACCGCAAGAAUAAGCACCGGCUAACUUCG
rnacentral:rRNA from 1 species